UCGAGUCCCGGCGGAGUCGCCA
rnacentral:miRNA from 1 species